GGCCAGGCGGUGAGGGCCGGCCUGGGUCCCAGCAGAUUGCGAGCUGGAGGCGUGGGCCACUCCUUUAGCCCCGCGAGCGCCCCCGCGGCGCAGUAGGAGAGCGAUGAUGUGUAACCGGAACACCCCAGCUCUGCGAACGCUGCGGCUGCCGGAGCCCUGUGGAGCCUCGUGAGGAGUCGCUUCGCCCCAGGGCGAGCCGUGAGCUCCGGGCGGAAGGACAGGAGCAAAGACACUCCUGGGGAAUGCUUCCUGUCAAUACCUGGAGCAGAAGCCAGGACCACCCUUCACCUGGUGGCAGCAGCUCCCACUAGCUGAGAGAGGCCCUAGGACACCUAGAGAGACAUUCAAGUCCUGCUCUUGCAAAAACAAACCUAUAAAUGAUGACGGAUAUCACAAGCACAAUAAUGAGCUGUGUUACAACUGGUGUUAUGUUUAACGGGGAGCUGCAGAAGUUAAUCAAGGAAAACAAAACCUGGGAAGAAAAUGUUGUAGAAGAAUUAUUGAUGUUGUAUUCAAUAUCUUGGUAUAUUCUUAAGUAUUGUGGCUGCAGGCCCUAGAGUCGACUGGACACAUACGUACAUUCGUGGGGCCAAUGUAUCGGCUUGCUGGAUAUGCACCAAGUUUCCUACCAGUGUGGCUGCAGGAUUCCCAUGGAAAAUCACCCCAAUGACGACUACUAACUGGACAUGUACAUGAGUGGGGUUUUCGUGGCUAAUAGUUGAAAGGAUAGAGCUACAGGGACAAGCCUCAAUGCGUAUUGAAUGUACAAUAAGUACGGAGGUUACAUGGCUGCCAGGGUCAGCCGUCCUUGCUAAGGGAACAUCAUGGAAGAUCACAGAUGCAUAGAUUGUAUGGGGAGAGACCCUGAAGGGGUGGAGUGUGAGGAAAGGGGAGUUGGUUUGGUCAGGCCCCCUCGCCUCAUAUCCAGCUGGGUAUGAUUCAGCACAUCCAUUGAAAACAAGUCAUGUAAGAGCAGAGUUAGUGCACACGUGCCCAUGUACCCCUUGGCUCAUUGCCACUAUCGUGUACUUUCAGUGUGGAAGGCAGUGGCUCUGAACCGCUGGUCAGUGGAGCUCGCAUCUGAAGAAUAAAGCAUGUCCAUGUUGCUGGUGGCUACUCAGUUUUUCUUUCACUUACCUGACUCAGGACCUGCACAGGAUGGAGCAGAGGGGUCUGUGGUCCAUCCCAACAAUGAUAUAGCAAGAAGGUCCUCACUAGAUG